UACGUAGGUGGCAAGCGUUGUCCGGAAUUAUUGGGCGUAAAGCGCGCGCAGGUGGUUUCUUAAGUCUGAUGUGAAAGCCCACGGCUCAACCGUGGAGGGUCAUUGGAAACUGGGGAACUUGAGUGCAGAAGAGGAAAGUGGAAUUCCACGUGUAGCGGUGAAAUGCGUAGAGAUGAUGGAGGAACACCAGUGGCGAAGGCGACUUUCUGGUCUGUAACUGACACUGAGGCGCGAAAGCGUGGGGAGCGAACAGG
rnacentral:rRNA from 1 species